CUGCCUUAGGGACCAAGCCUACACAACACAUGGCUUCUGGGGACAUGAGAGGCCCAGAGAGCCAUGCUGACCAGUAAGUCUCCCUUGAAACCUUUAUCUGUCACAUGAUGAUACAAGCAUCACCAACUAGAGGGCUUUACAGAGGCAGAGCGGAACACCUGAGAACAGAGGGUCAUGAACUAUAAGGAUCAUAGAGAUGCCAAGAAGAGGACCUGGGAUGACUCAGGAAGAAAGGGUAGAAAGAAGAGAAAUAAAAGUUUGUAUUUGUUUGUUUUAAUGUUGUUGGCAUUAAAGAAUUGCUAAUAGAGUUUCAGGAACUGGUGGAAGCAAUAAAAUGGUUAGCUGUGGUUUGCGUUGUUAACCUCCUGGACCUACAACACAGCUAUCAUAUUUACAUUGAUUUGUUUCUCUUAUGAACAUAUAAACAUGCAUUUUAAACUUAUAACAGUUCUUUUACUAUGUUUUAAAAAUGUAGAAAAAUGGAUGAAAAUACAUCAAAUAUAUGAUGGUUACUACUUUUUGAUUCAUUUUAUGUCUUUUUCCUGGUUAAACGUAAGUGUAUCUCCAGAUUAAUAAAUAUAUUUCAAACUCA